GGUCUCGUGGCCGAGCGGUUAGGCAGUGGUCUGCAAAACCAUGUACACCAGUUCGAAUCUGGUCGAGACCUCAA
rnacentral:tRNA from 1 species